GACGAACGUUGGCGGCGUGCUUAAUACAUGCAAGUCAACUGAAGCAGUGGUAGCAAUCUCGCUGUGGAGGUGGCGCACGGGUGAGUAACACGUAGGUAAUCUGCCUUCAGGUCUGGCAUAACUCCGGGAAACCGGGGCUAAUAGCAGAUGAUGCAGCGGCUCGACAUCGAGACAGUUGUUAAAGCUAUGGCGCCUGAAGAUGAGCCUGCGUCUGAUUAGCUAGUUGGCGGGGUAACGGCCCACCAAGGCAACGAUCAGUAGCUGGUCUGAGAGGAUGAUCAGCCACACUGGAACUGAGACACGGUCCAGACUCCUACGGGAGGCAGCAGUAAGGAAUAUUGCGCAAUGGGAGAAAUCCUGAAGCAGCAACGCCGCGUGAGGGACGAAGGGCUUUUGCUUGUAAACCUCUGUAGUGAGAGAAAAAAAUCCCAAUCUUUGGGACAUGAUGGUAUCUCAAAAGUAAGCCCCGGCUAACUACGUG
rnacentral:rRNA from 1 species